UCUUCCAACACGUACCCGCUUCCUAAUUUUUUAAAAAUCUCGCGUCUACGCGCUUUCAUACACGUAUCCGCUUCCGUUUCCGUUUCCAUAGGUUUUCAUUAAUGAUUUUUUUUUUACAUAUGCUGAUAAUAAAAGCCCAACUAAAACUCAAAUGGACUUAAUUAACAGAUCCAAGAAAAAAGCAAGCCCAAAAGAGGUCCCAAAACCGAGAAAACUCUAGGGCUCCAAACUCCAUAGACGAGCCGCCACAGCCGCUAGAGAGACCACAAUGAGAAGACCAGAUUUCGGCCAACAAACGGAGCUGCUACCGACUGAUUUGAAAACGCCUCACCGUCAAAGGACUAUGCAAGGUAGAGGUGAAAACCGGAAGAAAGGGAAGAGAACCCAAGAGGAAAGACCCAUGCAGAUCCGACAUAAGUCGUUGCCGUAGUCAGCCGCCUCCGGGAUCCUUGUUCACGCCGCCUCUCCGCCGUCCUCAAACAGAAAGCUUACUGAAGUAACCAGAAGUUCAUGAAACUAUAUCACGCCUCCGCCUUGAAAACCUCCUCUCCACCGAGAUCCACCACCCCCCUUCGCCGGAUCCAUGUCGCUCAUCACCAAACAGCGGGCUUGAACCAGAUCUUCGACGACGACACCUGAGGAAGCGUAAACCCAACUCCGUCUUCAAGAGUCAAGAACCGCAAGGAGCCACCACCAAAAAUCAGACUGAACCGACCCAACUCCUAUCUCGAACCGGAAACACCACCAAGCCUCUUGCCAAGUUACUGUCAAAUCAAGGAUGAAGAUCGAGGCAAACAAAAAAAAAACCUCUCACAGUCUCACGGAGGAGAUCGGAGUGGAAGACUGAAACUGACGGCGUUAGGUCAAGAGGAGAGAGAUGAGAGAUAAGGAACGAUUGUCCUUCGAUCAAAAAAAUUGGCAUAUCAAUA
rnacentral:lncRNA from 1 species